UCUAAAUAAGUAAAAAAAAAUGUUUAAAAUUUUAAAAAUAUUCACUAAAAACAAAAAAAUAAGAAAACCAAAAAACUGAGUUUUCAAAAAAUUUAAUUCAAAAAACUCAAACCAAACACACUGAUGAUUAGAAGAAUUUCAUAUUGAAUGGCAAGCUGGUUUUGUUCUGGUUGUCCUGCUACAUGUGUAUGUUUCCAAAAUUUUAAUGUAGCAGUAUGAUUAGCCCUUUGUGGAUUAUUUGAUUUCAUUACUUUUUAAGGCUUUGUGGGUGUGUUUGGAUCACAAUUUUUUAUUAUAGCAUGGCUUGCUCAAUAUAGGGAUGGAGGACAGAAAUGCUCGUGUAUUUGUAUUAGUUAUGCCUGGUUUGCACGUCUUCGUCUCCUAUGUUUGCUUCUCAAAUUUAAUUCUCUACCCUCCUUUCUUUUUUGCAAUCCUAUUCUUAUCUUUUUUAUUUAUCAUUUUGUUCAUUUUUUCCCCUACUGGUGAUUGUCUUUGAAGGACGGAACAUGUUGUAGUACUUUCUGCCAAACCGGUCAGCUGUAUAUUGUUAGUUCACUGCCAUUGUUCAAUUUUUUUGGUUUUUACACCCUAAUCCCUUCUGUCUUCUCUGAAUUUUAGGUGGAGUUCUAAAAUUUAGUUUAACAGGUCUUGUGGAAUUUUGUUAGCAAUUUGCCCAAGGUAUGCAGAAUUAUCCUAUGCUGGUCUUGGAUGGCGAAACAUUGUUAGAAAUAAAUAGAUGUGAAGCAUUGUAAGGAUUCUAGUUUCUUUCUGAUUCAUAUUCAAUAUGCAUGUUUAAAAAAGGAGGAUUCCAGCUGCACGACAGGUAAGUUUCUUUAUGAAUUUGUAUAAAUGAAGAUUUAAGGUUUUUUUUCUUAUUAUUUUGGAUAUUUUAUCAUUGGUUAUUUGGCAAGGGUAUAAAAAUAGGGACUAGUGCAAUGGAGUCUUUUUGAAGAUUCUGAUCUGAAAAAUCAAGCAAAAUUUUGGUUAUAUUGAUUGGAAGGUGCUUGCUUUUUCUGUGUUUUUUUAUUUUAUUUUAAAGGUUUCAUCGUUCGCCUUGCAAGCAGGUGCAAAACCCUUUCUUGCACUAACCACUCUGUUGUACUUGAGAUUUUUGUUUCUGUUUGGUCUUGUAUGACCUCUGUCCCCCUUAUCAAUUGUAACUGGUGGGAAGGUUAGUGCUAAUUUUUGAAGAUUCUGAUCUGAAAAAUUAAGCAAAAUUAUUUUUAGUGAUAAUUUUUCUAGGAUUUAUUUUUAAUAGGAUUUGAUGAGAAUUAAUUCUAACUAUUGGGACUUAUUGGUAGUUUAUCCUUGGAUAAUUUAUUUUCUCCAUGGGCUCUGAUGUAGAUUUUUGGAUAUGAAUGCCAAGGAUUAGAAGAAUUAAACAUGGUUUGAAAGGUGAGAGGUAACUGUAUGCUGUACUCUCUUUUGGGAUUUUGUAUUUACUGUUAUGUUCCCAUUUUAAUAUGGUGCAUGUAUAUAUAUAUAUAUAUAUAUAAUAUAAUAGUAUAGAAAUAGCAUUAUUUUCAAUUUUUUUUGAGGAGUUGAUGAUUGGCCAUCUGUUUUUAGUGUUCUUUGUUGUUUGUAAUUGUGUUUUAUGAUGUUCUUGUUUGUAACCGAAAGUUUAUUUUCUGCAAAUCUAAGAUACGUUUUUGUUGAUGCUGAAUUUAUCCUCUUGUUAUUGUUUUAUUGGGGUGGGUUUUGUUAGUAAUUUUAUUUAUGUACUUAGGUUUGUUUUGUACUUCUCUAUUUUGGUCUGUUGCAGCUGAUUUGAUUGUAGAUGAAUUUGUAUGGGAGCUGCGGCAUAACCACUUGGGGAUAGGAUAGCUUGAACUGGAUUCUGGGAUGUGAUGAAUGGCAAGGAUUGGAAGAAUAUCACGUUGAAUGGCAAGCCAGAAUUGAUAGAGAUCUCCUAUAGUUCAGAGUUCUUGGGAGUAUUGUAUAAAUUUUACUAUAGAAAGUAUUGUUAGACCUUUGUUGUGGAUAAUUUGAGUUAAUUAUUUUUGGUUUUUAAGGAUUUUUAAGUGUUUGGGUUUCACUGUUCCAUUUUAUUGGUUGGGGACAAUUCAUUUUGUUACUUAUAUUGUUAAUUUUUUUUUUUUUUGUUUUUUCCCUCUCCUUGUAAAAUCUUCAUUGAUUUAAUAAUGGACAUAUUUUCUCUC